UUAAGCGACUAAGCGUACACGGUGGAUGCCCUGGCAGUCAGAGGCGAUGAAGGACGUGCUAAUCUGCGAAAAGCGUCGGUAAGGUGAUAUGAACCGUUAUAACCGGCGAUGUCCGAAUGGGGAAACCCAGUGUGAUUCGUCACACUAUCGUUAACUGAAUACAUAGGUUAACGAGGCGAACCGGGGGAACUGAAACAUCUAAGUACCCCGAGGAAAAGAAAUCAACCGAGAUUCCCCCAGUAGCGGCGAGCGAACGGGGAGCAGCCCAGAGUCUGAAUCAGCUUGUGUGUUAGUGGAACGGUCUGGAAAGUCCGACGGUACAGGGUGAUAGUCCCGUACACCAAAAUGCACAGGCUGUGAACUCGAAGAGUAGGGCGGGACACGUGGUAUCCUGUCUGAAUAUGGGGGGACCAUCCUCCAAGGCUAAAUACUCCUGACUGACCGAUAGUGAACCAGUACCGUGAGGGAAAGGCGAAAAGAACCCCGGCGAGGGGAGUGAAAAAGAACCUGAAACCGUGUACGUACAAGCAGUGGGAGCACCUUCGGGUGUGACUGCGUACCUUUUGUAUAAUGGGUCAGCGACUUAUAUUCUGUAGCAAGGUUAACCGUAUAGGGGAGCCGCAGGGAAACCGAGUCUUAACUGGGCGUUAAGUUGCAGGGUAUAGACCCGAAACCCGGUGAUCUAGCCAUGGGCAGGUUGAAGGUUGGGUAACACUAACUGGAGGACCGAACCGACUAAUGUUGAAAAAUUAGCGGAUGACUUGUGGCUGGGGGUGAAAGGCCAAUCAAACCGGGAGAUAGCUGGUUCUCCCCGAAAGCUAUUUAGGUAGCGCCUCGUGAACUCAUCUUCGGGGGUAGAGCACUGUUUCGGCUAGGGGGUCAUCCCGACUUACCAACCCGAUGCAAACUACGAAUACCGAAGAAUGUUAUCACGGGAGACACACGGCGGGUGCUAACGUCCGUCGUGAAGAGGGAAACAACCCAGACCGCCAGCUAAGGUCCCAAAGUCAUGGUUAAGUGGGAAACGAUGUGGGAAGGCACAGACAGCCAGGAUGUUGGCUUAGAAGCAGCCAUCAUUUAAAGAAAGCGUAAUAGCUCACUGGUCGAGUCGGCCUGCGCGGAAGAUGUAACGGGGCUAAACCAUGCACCGAAGCUGCGGCAGCGACACUAUGUGUUGUUGGGUAGGGGAGCGUUCUGUAAGCCUGCGAAGGUGUGCUGUGAGGCAUGCUGGAGGUAUCAGAAGUGCGAAUGCUGACAUAAGUAACGAUAAAGCGGGUGAAAAGCCCGCUCGCCGGAAGACCAAGGGUUCCUGUCCAACGUUAAUCGGGGCAGGGUGAGUCGACCCCUAAGGCGAGGCCGAAAGGCGUAGUCGAUGGGAAACAGGUUAAUAUUCCUGUACUUGGUGUUACUGCGAAGGGGGGACGGAGAAGGCUAUGUUAGCCGGGCGACGGUUGUCCCGGUUUAAGCAUGUAGGCUGGUUGUCCAGGCAAAUCCGGAUAAUCAAGGCUGAGGUGUGAUGACGAGGCACUACGGUGCUGAAGUAACAAAUGCCCUGCUUCCAGGAAAAGCCUCUAAGCAUCAGGUAACAUCAAAUCGUACCCCAAACCGACACAGGUGGUCAGGUAGAGAAUACCAAGGCGCUUGAGAGAACUCGGGUGAAGGAACUAGGCAAAAUGGUGCCGUAACUUCGGGAGAAGGCACGCUGGUGUGUAGGUGAAGUCCCUGCGGAUGGAGCUGAGACCAGUCGAAGAUACCAGCUGGCUGCAACUGUUUAUUAAAAACACAGCACUGUGCAAACACGAAAGUGGACGUAUACGGUGUGACGCCUGCCCGGUGCCGGAAGGUUAAUUGAUGGGGUUAUCCGUAAGGAGAAGCUCUUGAUCGAAGCCCCGGUAAACGGCGGCCGUAACUAUAACGGUCCUAAGGUAGCGAAAUUCCUUGUCGGGUAAGUUCCGACCUGCACGAAUGGCGUAAUGAUGGCCAGGCUGUCUCCACCCGAGACUCAGUGAAAUUGAACUCGCUGUGAAGAUGCAGUGUACCCGCGGCAAGACGGAAAGACCCCGUGAACCUUUACUAUAGCUUGACACUGAACAUUGAGCCUUGAUGUGUAGGAUAGGUGGGAGGCUUUGAAGCGUGGACGCCAGUCUGCGUGGAGCCAACCUUGAAAUACCACCCUUUAAUGUUUGAUGUUCUAACGUUGGCCCCUUAUCGGGGUUGCGGACAGUGUCUGGUGGGUAGUUUGACUGGGGCGGUCUCCUCCCAAAGCGUAACGGAGGAGCACGAAGGUUAGCUAAUCCUGGUCGGACAUCAGGAGGUUAGUGCAAUGGCAUAAGCUAGCUUGACUGCGAGCGUGACGGCGCGAGCAGGUGCGAAAGCAGGUCAUAGUGAUCCGGUGGUUCUGAAUGGAAGGGCCAUCGCUCAACGGAUAAAAGGUACUCCGGGGAUAACAGGCUGAUACCGCCCAAGAGUUCAUAUCGACGGCGGUGUUUGGCACCUCGAUGUCGGCUCAUCACAUCCUGGGGCUGAAGUAGGUCCCAAGGGUAUGGCUGUUCGCCAUUUAAAGUGGUACGCGAGCUGGGUUUAGAACGUCGUGAGACAGUUCGGUCCCUAUCUGCCGUGGGCGCUGGAGAAUUGAGGGGGGCUGCUCCUAGUACGAGAGGACCGGAGUGGACGCAUCACUGGUGUUCGGGUUGUCAUGCCAAUGGCACUGCCCGGUAGCUAAAUGCGGAAGAGAUAAGUGCUGAAAGCAUCUAAGCACGAAACUUGCCCCGAGAUGAGUUCUCCCUGAGACUUUAAGUCUCCUGAAGGAACGUUGAAGACGACGACGUUGAUAGGCCGGGUGUGUAAGCGCAGCGAUGCGUUGAGCUAACCGGUACUAAUGAACCGUGAGGCUUAACCUU
rnacentral:rRNA from 1 species